UGCGUAGGGUGCGAGCGUUGUCCGGAAUUAUUGGGCGUAAAGAGCUCGUAGGCGGUGUGUCACGUCGAUCGUGAAAACUUACAGCUUAACUGUGAGCGUGCGGUCGAUACGGGCAUCACUGGAGUUCGGCAGGGGAGACUGGAAUUCCUGGUGUAGCGGUGAAAUGCGCAGAUAUCAGGAGGAACACCGGUGGCGAAGGCGGGUCUCUGGGCCGAUACUGACGCUGAGGAGCGAAAGCGUGGGGAGCGAACAGG
rnacentral:rRNA from 1 species